UACGUAGGUGGCAAGCGUUGUCCGGAUUUAUUGGGUUUAAAGGGUGCGUAGGCGGCCCUGUAAGUCAGUGCUGAAAUAUCCCGGCUUAACCGGGAGGGUGGCAUUGAUACUGCAGGGCUUGAGUACAGAUGAAGUAGGCGGAAUUGACGGUGUAGCGGUGAAAUGCAUAGAUAUCGUCAAGAACACCGAUAGCGAAGGCAGCUUACUAAGCUGUAACUGACGCUGAGGCACGAAAAGUGUGGGGGAUCAAAACAGG
rnacentral:rRNA from 1 species